UACGUAGGGGGCAAGCGUUGUCCGGAUUUAUUGGGCGUAAAGAGCGUGUAGGCGGCCAGGGAGGUCCGUUGUGAAAACUCGAGGCUCAACCUCGAGACGCCGAUGGAAACCCCCUGGCUAGAGUCCGGAAGAGGAGAAUGGAAUUCCUGGUGUAGCGGUGAAAUGCGCAGAUAUCAGGAGGAACACCGAUGGCGAAGGCAGGUCUCUGGGCCGCAACUGACGCUGAGGAGCGAAAGCAUGGGGAGCGAACAGG
rnacentral:rRNA from 1 species